UACGUAGGGGGCGAGCGUUGUCCGGAUUUAUUGGGCGUAAAGAGCUCGUAGGCGGUUUGGUAAGUUGGAUGUGAAAUCUCCAGGCUCAACGUGGAGGGGCCAUUCGAAACUGCCGUGACUCGAGUCCGGUAGGGGAGUGCGGAGUUCCCGGUGUAGCGGUGAAAUUCGUAGAUAUCGGGUAGAACACCAGUGGCGAAGGCGGCUAUCUGGACGACAACUGACGCUGAGACGCGAAAGCGUGGGGAGCAAACAGG
rnacentral:rRNA from 1 species